rnacentral:rRNA from 1 species
GACGAACGCUGGCGGCGUGCUUAACACAUGCAAGUCGAACGGAAAGGCCCUGCUUUUGUGGGGUGCUCGAGUGGCGAACGGGUGAGUAACACGUGAGUAACCUGCCCUUGACUUUGGGAUAACUUCAGGAAACUGGGGCUAAUAUCGGAUAGGAGCUCCUGCUGCAUGGUGGGGGUUGGAAAGUUUCGGCGGUUGGGGAUGGACUCGCGGCUUAUCAGCUUGUUUGUGGGGUAGUGGCUUACCAAGGCUUUGACGGGUAGCCGGCCUGAGAGGGUGACCGGCCACAUUGGGACUGAGAUACGGCCCAGACUCCUACGGGAGGCAGCAGUGGGGAAUAUUGCAGAAUGGGCGGAAGCCUGAUGCAGCAACGCCGCGUGCGGGAUGACGGCCUUCGGGUUGUAAACCGCUUUCGCCUGUGACGAAGCGUGAGUGACGGUAAUGGGUAAAGAAGCACCGGCUAACUACGUG